UACGUAGGGGGCAAGCGUUGUCCGGAUUCAUUGGGCGUAAAGAGCGUGUAGGCGGCCAGGUAGGUCGGUUGUGAAAACUGGAGGCUCAACCUUCAGACGUCGACCGAAACCAUCUGGCUAGAGUCCGGGAGAGGAGAGUGGAAUUCCUGGUGUAGCGGUGAAAUGCGUAGAUAUCUGGAGGAACACCGGUGGCGAAGGCGGCAUCCUGGACCGGUAUUGACGCUGAGGCGCGAAAGCUAGGGGAGCAAACGGG
rnacentral:rRNA from 1 species